rnacentral:rRNA from 1 species
GAGUUUGAACCUGGCUCAGGACGAACGCUGGCGGCGUGCCUAAUACAUGCAAGUCGAGCGAGCUUGCCUAGAUGAUUUUAGUGCUUGCACUAAAUGAAACUAGGUACAAGCGAGCGGCGGACGGGUGAGUAACACGUGGGUAACCUGCCCAAGAGACUGGGAUAACACCUGGAAACAGAUGCUAAUACCGGAUAACAACACUAGACGCAUGUCUAGAGUUUGAAAGAUGGUUCUGCUAUCACUCUUGGAUGGACCUGCGGUGCAUUAGCUAGUUGGUAAGGUAACGGCUUACCAAGGCAAUGAUGCAUAGCCGAGUUGAGAGACUGAUCGGCCACAUUGGGACUGAGACACGGCCCAAACUCCUACGGGAGGCAGCAGUAGGGAAUCUUCCACAAUGGACGAAAGUCUGAUGGAGCAACGCCGCGUGAGUGAAGAUGGUUUCGGCUCGUAAAGCUCUGUUGGU